GAUUUGUCAACUGGGCUCGGGUCCAGGCUCACUUGCACCACCUGAGCCUAGGGUUCCCACUGGGGAACUCCUUCAGCAGGAAGGAAGGCAGGCUCCAAACAUGCUGUCUGGUUCAUUCAGGGCUCGGACCUGUCUGCUCCUCCAUUGCAACCUCUAAUGCUCCAUAAAUGGUUCAGGGUUUGGUGGCUGCAGCUCCCUCCUGUCUCAUGGCCCUUCCUUGGGAUGUCCUUGGGACCCCCUCACCCUCCAGUUUGAAACACACUCAUGGCAUUGUCUUCAAAGUUUCCACACUCUACUGGCAGCAUCCUCUGUGCUGAACUGAGGUCAGGCUUUCACACGGAGCUCAGAGGAAUACAGAAUAGUCCUGUCCUUCGUGUUCAAGCAAUGUCUUCCAGCAUGGGUCUUUUGAUUUUGGCUCUUGGGGCAAUGUUCCCGUGUGACUGUGGCUCCUGUGGUCACUUGGACAUGAAUUUUGAAUUCUGUUUCUUGUCUCCCCUGCCCCAAGGCUCCUUGGUAGCCUGUCCCUGUGGGUUCCUGUCUUAAUCAGGCCAGCCUGGUGUAGGUCUGAAGCACGCAGUCCCCUCUGGCUCCUCUCUGCAGGACAGAGAGUGGGGCGGAGGGACUCUGGGUUGGUUGGCUCUUUGACUCGACAAACACUGGCCUUGUCUUAUCGUAUCUGUGAUGCUGAAAGGGUAUCUGUCCCCUUUGCUGCCUUGAACAAAUGCGUCCUCCUGUCACUGCAGCCUUUGGAAGGUUCAUAUCCCAGGAGGGAGGCUAGCGUGGAGGAGGGAAGGAAAGACAGCUCCAUUUCAUUAGAAAGGGUCUUCCUUCCUUUUUCUUUUUCUUUUAAACUGUUUCCCAAGUGUCCUGAUUCAAACCCAGAAGAGACGGGAAGGUAUUUCCCUAUCAGAUCAGAUAAAAUGGGGAGAAAUGGAUCAGUAUGAUCGUUUUUCACUUGUUGGUGCCAAGUGUCUAUUUGAAAACUCCUUCUACACCCAGUCAGGACAUUACUCUUCCUUGCCUCCAUCCUGGGAAGGCAGUCCCUGGAGUGGGAGUUGACAAGGCAGUGGUUUCAUUGCAAGCCACUGCUGCAUCCACAUCCUGUCCACAUCCACGGAGAACUUCCUCCCCUCCCCCAUCUUCCUCUGCUUUCAUGGAUCCGGGUGGGGGCUUUGCUCAUUUCAGUCCAAGCCACUCUCCGUCCAAUCCACUGGGGGUGGGGGUGGUGAUGGGGCAAGAACAGGGUGCUGCCCCAGCCCUAAGACCUCUCCCAUCUCCAGGGACAACUGGUAGGCAAUGUCAGUGAGGUGACAAGUCCUGUAAUGCAGGGAAACUCAGGGGGACCCAGAGGAGGGGCACUGACCUUGCCUCUAAGGGUAGUUCAGAGGAGGGACAGCCUGAGCGGGAAGGAGCUUUGAGGGCGUUCAAGGUGAAGAAGGUGGUGAAGCACAGCAAGGUGUAUCUGUGUGAGCUGCUCUCAUCCCUGUUAAGGAGACAGCUUUCACCCUGUGGUGCUGCCUGUCUGGUGUGCUCUAAGGAGAGAUGGGCCUUUCCAGUUGGCUUCUCUGCUUUAUUUAUGAAGAACAAGAUGGGAAAGAGAGGCAGAAGUGGAGGGAGAGAGGAAAAAAAUGUGUGCAUAGGGAGGUAAUGACAGGAUUUGGCAUGGUUAGGGGGUAUCAGGGAACCAGGGAGAGAGUUGAGGGUCAGGAACUAUAAAGUCCCGAGCAGCUCCAGGGUUGGAGAGAAUGGGAGGAGAGCAGAAAGGGGAUAUUAGGAAACAUCAGAGCAGGGGCAGUUAUGAUUACAAACCUCUUAAGAGUCUGUGAGAGGUGCAAGUAAAGAUUUGAAUUCCUUCAAAAUCAGUUUUUGCUUGCAAGAGUUUUGCAGCAGGAGUUCAGUGUGGCUGCAGGAGAGGAUGAGCUGUGCAGUAAGGUGCAAGUGGAGGCUGGAAAGAACCCACACAUACAGGACCCGACGGGCCAUUUGAUCAGUCUGAGUUUCAGCAGGAAGGCAGUGGGGAGCCACUCACGGGUCAUGUGGGACAGUGAUGUGAGCCUUCAGGUCCAAGGCUCCUCUGGUUGCAGCAUGGAUAUUGGAUUAGAGCGAUGGGGCUGGAGACAGGAGGCCUGGGAGGAGACUGAGGCAACAUUCUGAUAGGAUAAGGAAUCCUGAUUUAUGACCCUGGGGAAGGGAGGUGAGAAUGGUCAAGGGAGAGACAGGGAGCUGAAUGGGCAGGAUGAUUGAGAGGAGGAGGGGGGAGAUGGAGAAGAAGAAGCUAGGGAUGCCGCCGGGUCUAGAUGGAUUAUCAAGAGGAUUAAACGAGGUCGGUCGGGUGCGGUGGCUCACGUCUGUAAUCCCAGCACUUUGAGAGGCCGAGGCGGGCGGAUCACUUGAGGCCAGGAGUUGGGGACCAGCAUGGUGAAGCCCUGUCUCUACUAAAAAUACAAAAAUUAGCCCGGCAUGGUGGCACAUGCCUAUAGUUCCAGCUACUUGGGCAGCUGAAGCAGGAGAAUCACUGGAACCUGGGGGAUGGAGGUUGAAGUGAGCCGAGAUCGUGCCAUUGCACUCCAGCAAAACUCUGUCUCCAGAAGAAAAAAAAAAAAGAAAGAAAAGAAAAGAAAAGAAAAAUGAGAACUACAUUUCCUAACUAGUAGAGAGUGGUGACUAACUAGAUGAGUGUGUGACUAAUUGUGGAGCUCUGUCCCCAUCACGAGGCAUGAGCUCCCCAAGGGCAGGGACUGUAUCUACCUUGUCCAUUGCCCUGUGCUCCACGUGAGGCAGGGGCUCAGUAAGUAUUUUUUUAAAAUUGGAAUUUCAUUAACUGUGUAUCGCAAGUUGGACAGAACUGACGUAUUUGUCAUAUUAAGUCUUUCCAUGCAGGAACUGGUAUGUUUUUCCACUUGUUGAGUUUUCAUGUAACCCUUCACAAGGUUUUAUGGUUCUCAUCAUAUAGCCCAGGUAUCUUUUCACUACAUUUAUUUCAAAAUAUUUUAAAGUUUUU
rnacentral:lncRNA from 10 species